GAGUUUGAUCCUGGCUCAGGACGAACGCUGGCGGCGCGCCUAACACAUGCAAGUCGAACGAGCAAGAGAGAGCUUGCUUUCUCGAGCGAGUGGCGAACGGGUGAGUAACGCGUGAGGAACCUGCCUCAAAGAGGGGGACAACAGUUGGAAACGACUGCUAAUACCGCAUAAGCCCACGACCCGGCAUCGGGUUGAGGGAAAAGGAGCAAUCCGCUUUGAGAUGGCCUCGCGUCCGAUUAGCUAGUUGGUGAGGUAACGGCCACCAAGGCGACGAUCAGUAGCCGACCUGAGAGGGUGACCCGGCCACCAUUGGGACUGAGACACGGCCCAAACUCCUACGGGAGGGCAGCAGUGGGGAAUAUUGCACAAUGGGGGAAACCCUG
rnacentral:rRNA from 1 species